rnacentral:rRNA from 1 species
AGCAGCCGCGGUAAUUCCAGCUCCAAUAGCGUAUAUUAAAGUUGUUGCAGUUAAAAAGCUCGUAGUUGAAUUUCGGGAUCAAUUAAUUGGUCGUGCCUAUGGUACGUACUGAUUUUAUUGGUUUCUCCCUUCUGACGAACCAUGAUGUCAUUAAUUUGGUGUCGUGGAGAAUCAGGACUGUUACUUUGAAAAAAUUAGAGUGUUUAAAGCAAGCUAACGCUUGAAUACAUUAGCAUGGAAUAAUGAAAUAGGACGUUUGAUCCUAUUUUGUUGGUUUCUAGGAUCGACGUAAUGAUUAAUAGGGAUAGUUGGGGGCAUUAGUAUUCAAUUGUCAGAGGUGAAAUUCUUGGAUUUAUUGAAGACUAACUACUGCGAAAGCAUUUGCCAAGGAUGUUUUCAUUAAUCAAGAACGAAAGUUAGGGGAUCGAAGACGAUCAGAUACCGUCGUAGUCUUAACCAUAAACUAUGCCGACUAGGGAUCGGAUGAUGUUAAUUUUUUAAUGACUCA